CUGAUUCUUGUUCAAUAAUGCUAUUUUUUGACCUUUAAAAUUGAAAUUAGAGAUAGAAUCAUCUUUCCGUUCUUUUGUUUUCUCGAGUACAGCUUCUGAGUGUUUUUGUUGGUCAGCUUGAUUAUGCACUUUACUGUGUAGAUAUUUUUUUCAAUAAUGUAGAAGUUGGUGCUUCAGAAAUUGCAUAUCUUCAUCCAUUUAUCAGUUUUUUAGGCUGCUAAUAUCCUAAUCAUUUAAAGAUUACCCUUUCAACAAAUAAUUAAGUAUAAAAUGCCAUCAAUCGAGGCUGCUAAUAUCCUAAUCAUUUAAAGAUUACCCUUUCAACAAAUAAUUAAGUAUAAAAUGCCAUCAAUUGGAGUCAAAAAAUGAAUAUUUGAAUUUAUUAAGAUCUCUAACCUUCAUUUCUUUUGAUGUUGCAAAUUUAUAUUCAAUCUCUAGGUCAUCUUUCGAAUCAAUUGACAAUGCAAAACAUAUUGUAUAAAAUGGACAAAUCUAAGGUAAUUGUGUUUUCUUAUAUUUAGGUAAGGUUUUUGUUAAGGUUUCGAAAAUAAUUUCAUUUUAACUUUGUUUUCACGUUGCAUUGUUAAAGUUAACUAUGCGAGCUUCCAAGAAGUUUAAACGACGGAGAGCUACAAUUGUUGUGGCAAUUUGAGAGACCAAUAAGAGACUACAGCUGUCAAGCGAACCAGAAAAUUCUAUAUCUACUCCAAUUAAUGAUAAGCAAAACACGCAGCCUACAAAUGCAAAUGUAGAAGCUCCGAAAAAGGAAAGGUGUCCAACUCAAGUGAAAAUGAUUCCUGGAAAUAGUUAUUAGAACAUGGAUCUCGAAUUCAAUGAGUAUGGGCAAGUAGUUGGCCGUAACUCAGAUAAAUUUGCUAAUGUAGUUAGAGCCAUGGUACGAGAACAUAUGCUUGCUGUAAUUAAAGAUUGACAUUCGGUUGAUGGGAAGUAAAAAAUGAAACUUUGGAAUUUCGUACAGGUAUAUCUCUUAUCUACCUUUUAAGAUUAUUACAUUAUAUUCUUUUCAGACUUUAAUUUAUUUUUGUAUACAAGUACAACAAAUGUUCAAUGUGAGUGAUUAUUAUCAAAAAAUAACAAUUCAAUGUAUGGGAAAGUAUUGAAGGACAUUUAAGUCAAGACUGAAAAAACAAAUCAAAACUCAAGUCGAAUCAUACGUGAAUAGAGCUUGCACUAUGGCCUUUCUUAGACCGAAGAAUGUUAAAUCUGAACAAGCAUGGGAAAAUUUUGUCAAGGAUAUGCUUUCUGCUGACUUUCGUGUAAGUAUAUUUACAUACGAGGCUUCAACUUUUUAUAAUUACUUUACAUUAUUAAUAUUUGGUAUUCGUAAUAGGAAAAAAGUUUCAAGUUUAGCAGCAUGAGAACAUCUCAGAAGCUUGUCCACAAUAUGGGUUGAAAGGGUUAUCCAUGCCCAUGAAAUGGUAGAAUUACAAACAUAUCUAAUCUUCUUAUUUGAAUUGUCACACUCUAAUUUAUGUAAUUACUAGAUUUUUAUUGCAGGGGAAAAAUAUUCUAGAUAUAAAAUGAUUGAGAACUAGAGUAUAGACUCAUGGAUAUCUUAGAAAAGAUGGAAAAUCGAUAAAUUACAGUUGCUGAAACUUUAGUAUGUGUAUUAUAUCAAUGUUCAACUAAGAUUAAUUUGAUUUACUAUAUGUACCACUUGUUAAUAUAAAAUUUGAGUUCCAUGACUAAAGAAAAUGAUUGAAGUGUGUGCCCAAUCAAUUUCUGAUACACCAGCAGAAUCCCCAUUCGAGAUGAUGCUGUUGCUCGAUUUUUAGGUCCUGGACGCCAUGGAAGAGUUAGAGGACUUGGAUUUAAAGAUCCAUCAUCAAAAGUGGAUAGAAAAAUUCAAAAUAAUAUAAGAGUUAGAGAACUUCAAAGUCAACCACAAACUCAUUAAGAAAGGGGGGCAUUAGAAGAAAAGUUUGAAGUACUUCUCAAACUAUCUCAACAGGUUAUAAUCUGACCAUUAUAUAUACUGUGGUAAUAGUGCUUAAUACAGUCAAUUACAUGUAAAUUUACUUUUAUAAUUUUUGUAUCAUCUUACAUGAAUAUAGAGGAUAGGAGUUCAUGUGCUUUUAUUCCCCAGGUUUUUGUAUCCUACAUUAUUAAAUGUUUGUUGAAUUUGUAGACGCACCAAGGAAGUGGUGUCCAAGGAGGUACUGCACACCUGAAAAAUGCAAGGUGUUAACUAUUGCAUUGGUACGUUUUUUAGGAGGAAGAAAUUAUAGCGGAAGGGAAGAUUGUAACAACAGACCUAAGUGCAAAUGUGCAUCACUUGCCACUCGAACGAGACUGUUGGAAGGUUUGGAUUAAAGAGGUGUAUAUGGGUGAUUUAACCUCUAUAAAGACCUACACAUGAACUUAGAACUCUUAGUGAUGCCAUGAGAAGUACUGUUGAUUGGCCAAAGAGCAGUAUUAAACUUAUUUGAUGAAAGUAUAUUUCGUAGACUAAUUACAUACAUGUAUGAAUCUAUUUUUAUUUUCAAAAUCAAUUGUAGUUCUAUUUACACAUGAGUUAUGAAUCAAACUUUGUUAUAAUUUCAUAGAGUUCUCAGUAGCAUGCAAUCAUUGAUAGUUUUUUAGGAUGUACUCUUUUGCUUGGUACUACUUUCUUUAUCAAAUGGAUUUCAAUGUUUCGCUCUAUUGAUAUGCUUGGGGAAACAGGACAUGAUUAUAUUUCAUUUUCCUUGUAGGUAAAAUCAAGCAGAGCUCCUACAUUUGUACAGGGUAGGGGCGAAUUCUGUUAAUAUAUUAAUAGUGCAAGAAAAAAAAAGACAUUUGUUUCCAUUUUGUAUUUUGUAUGAGUAAAAAAUAUGUAAUGAAAUUUUAAUUUCUG
rnacentral:lncRNA from 1 species